rnacentral:rRNA from 1 species
AAUGCAAGUCGAGCGGUAGCACAGAGAGCUUGCUCUCGGGUGACGAGCGGCGGACGGGUGAGUAAUGUCUGGGAAACUGCCUGAUGGAGGGGGAUAACUACUGGAAACGGUAGCUAAUACCGCAUAACGUCGCAAGACCAAAGUGGGGGACCUUCGGGCCUCAUGCCAUCAGAUGUGCCCAGAUGGGAUUAGCUAGUAGGUGGGGUAACGGCUCACCUAGGCGACGAUCCCUAGCUGGUCUGAGAGGAUGACCAGCCACACUGGAACUGAGACACGGUCCAGACUCCUACGGGAGGCAGCAGUGGGGAAUAUUGCACAAUGGGCGCAAGCCUGAUGCAGCCAUGCCGCGUGUGUGAAGAAGGCCUUCGGGUUGUAAAGCACUUUCAGCGGGGAGGAAGGCGGUGAGGUUAAUAACCUCGUCGAUUGACGUUACCCGCAGAAGAAGCACCGGCUAACUCCGUGCCAGCAGCCGCGGUAAUACGGAGGGUGCAAGCGUUAAUCGGAAUUACUGGGCGUAAAGCGCACGCAGGCGGUCUGUCAAGUCGGAUGUGAAAUCCCCGGGCUCAACCUGGGAACUGCAUUCGAAACUGGCAGGCUAGAGUCUUGUAGAGGGGGGUAGAAUUCCAGGUGUAGCGGUGAAAUGCGUAGAGAUCUGGAGGAAUACCGGUGGCGAAGGCGGCCCCCUGGACAAAGACUGACGCUCAGGUGCGAAAGCGUGGGGAGCAAACAGGAUUAGAUACCCUGGUAGUCCACGCCGUAAACGAUGUCGAUUUGGAGGUUGUGCCCUUGAGGCGUGGCUUCCGGAGCUAACGCGUUAAAUCGACCGCCUGGGGAGUACGGCCGCAAGGUUAAAACUCAAAUGAAUUGACGGGGGCCCGCACAAGCGGUGGAGCAUGUGGUUUAAUUCGAUGCAACGCGAAGAACCUUACCUGGUCUUGACUUCCAC